rnacentral:rRNA from 1 species
ACAACUUUUAAUAAUAGAUCUCUUAGUUCUAGUAUUAAUAAAGAACGCAGCGAAAUGCAAUAAGUAGUGUAAAUUAUAGAAUUUAGUAAAUUAUUAAAUCUUUAAACGUAUAUUGCGCCCCUUAGUAUUCUAUAGGGCAUGCCUAUUUAAGCGUUAUUUGUACCCUUAAGCUCUACUUAGUGUUAGGUGUUUGUUCUACUUAGGACUCGCCUUAAAACAAUUAGUAGCUAGCAUAUUAGCCUAGAGCGCAGCAUAUUUUACGCCUCUUAUUAUAGUUAUUAGUAUCUAUUAAGACACUUUUUAAGCUCUUAACCUUAGAUUAGGUAGGGAUACCCGCUAAACUUAAGUAUAUUAAUAAGCGGAGGAAAAGAAACUAAUAGGGAUUGCCCUAGUAACAGCGAGUGAAGUAGUAAUAGCUUAAAUUUAAAAUCUAGCUCUUUUAGGGUCUAAGUUGUAAUUUGCAGAGGGCGCUUUAGUAUUAGUAGCAGUCUAAGUUCCUUAGAAUAGGAUGUUAUAGAGGGUAAGAAUCCUAUACGUAGUUACUAGCCUUCGCCGUGUAAAGCCCCUUUAACAAGUUAAGUUAUUUAGGAAUAUAGCUCUAAAUAGGAGGUAAAUUUCUUCUAAAGCUAAAUACUAGCUAGAGACUAAUAGCGUACAAGUAGAGUAAUUAAAAGAUAAAAAGCACUUUAGAAAGAGAGUUAAAUAGCACGUGAAAUUAUUAAAAGGGAAGCGCUUGCAGCUAGACUUGCCUAUAGUUGCUUAUCUAGGCUUUUGUCUAGUGCACUCUUCUACAGGCAGGCUAGUAUUAGUUUAGGCAGUUAGAUAAAGGUCUCUGUUACGUACCUCCCUUUAGGGAGGCCUUAUAGGGGAGAUAAUAUGCAACUAGCCUAGACUAAGGUCCGCGUAUCUACUAGGAUGCUAGCGUAAUAGCUGUAAGCGGCCUGUCUUAAAAUAUAGACUAAGGAGUCUAACAUCUAUGCAAGUGUUUAGGUGUUAAGCCUAGACGCGUAAUAAAAGUAAACAGAGGUAGGACCCCUUUUAGGGUGCACUAUUAACUAAUCCUAAUAUCUUUAGAAGGAUUUAAGUAAGAGUAUAGCUAUUAGGACCUAAAAGAUAGUAAACUAUGCUUAAAUAGGGUAAAGCUAGAGGAAACUCUAGUAGAGGCUCGCAGCGGUUCUAACGUGCAAAUUAAUUGUUAAAUUUAGGUAUAGGGGCGAAAGACUAAUUAAACUAUCUAGUAGCUAGUUCCUACUAAAGUUUCCCUUAGGAUAGCAGUAACGUAUUUAGUUUUAUAAGGUAAAGCAAAUAAUUAGAGGCCUAGGGGUUAAAACAACCUUUACCUAUUCUUAAACUUUAAAUAUAUAAGAAGUUCUUAUUACUUAAUUAAACGUAGAUACUUAAAUAUACUGUUACUAGUAGGCUAUUUUUAGUAAGUAGAACUAGCAAUAUAGGAUAAACUAAACGCAGGGUUAAGGUGCUAGAAUACACGCUUAUUAGACACUACAAAAGGUGUUAGUUUAUCUAGACAGUAGGAUAGUAGCUAUAGAAGUUAGAAUCUACUAAGGAGUGUAUAACAACUUACCUACUAAAUAAACUAGCCCUAAAAAUAGAUAGCGCUUAAGCGUGUUACCUAUACCCUGCUGCUAGGGCAAGAUUUAAGCCCUAGUAAGUAGGCAGGCAUAGAGGCUUAUAACAAAGCCUUAGGGGUAACCCUAGGUAGAACAGCCUCUAGUAUAGAUCUUAGUAGUAGUAGCAAAUACUUAAAUAAGAACUUUAAGGACUAAAGUAGGGAAAGGUUCUAUAUAAAUAGCAGUUAGAUACAGGUUAGUUAAUCCUAAGAGAUAGGGUAAUUCUAUUUUAAUGUUAGCGCUUACGCCACGCCCUUAAAAGGGAAGCUAGUUAAUAUUCUAGCACCUAGAUGUAGAUUCUCUGUAGUAACGCAACUAAGAGCGGAGACCUUAGCAGGAGCCCUAAGAAGAGUUCUCUUUUCUUCUUAACAGUCUAUCACCCUAAAAUUAGUUUGUCUAGAGCUAGGGUUUAAUAGCUAGAAGAGCGCUGCACUUUUAUAGUAUUUAGUGCGCUCCUAAUAAGCCUUAAAAAUCUACUUAAAGAAAUAGUUUUUACGCUAGGUUAUACUUAUAACUACAGCAGGUCUCUAAGGUAAAAAGCCUCUAGUUAAUAGAAUAAUGUAGAUAAGGGAAGUUAGUAAAAUAGAUCUGUAACUUUAGGAAAAGGAUUAGCUCUAAGGGUUAGGUACGUUAGGCCUUAGGGAGAAGCCUCUAGCGUAGAAGGGCACUAACUAUAAGGUAGGUGCCUCUUAGCGCUAGGGUGCAGACACCCUUAGCAGGUUUUAGCUAUCUAGCGUAUAUUUAACAACUAACUUAGAACUAGUAUAGAUAAGGGGAAUCUAACUAUCUAAUUAAAACAUAGUAUUGUAAUAGCUAGAAAGUAGUAUUAAUAUAAUAUAAUUUCUACCUAGUGCUCUAAAUAUUAAAGCAAAGAGAUUUAACUAAGCGCGGGUAAACAGCAGGAGUAACUAUAACUCUCUUAAGGUAGCUAAAUACCUUAUUAUCUAAUUAGUGACGCGCAUAAAUAGAUUAAUAAGAUUCCUACUAUCCCUAUCUACUAUCUAGCAAAACCAUAGCUAAGGGAACAGGCUUAGCUAAAUUAGCGGGGAAAGAAGACCCUAUUAAGCUUAACUCUAGUUUAAUAUUAUAAAAAGAUAUAGGGGGUGUAGAAUAGGUAGGAGCUUUAGCGCUAGUAAAAUACUACUACUCUUAUUAUUUUUUUACUUAUUUAAUAAAGCAGAGCUAGGCCUUACUACCUAACUUCUAGCGUUUAAGGUCCUUUAUAGGCUAAUCUAGGUUAAAGAUAUUAUUAGGUAGAGAGUUUAGCUAGGGCGGCACAUCUAUUAAACUAUAACGCAGGUAUCCUAAGGGGGACUUAUAGAGAAUAGAAAUCUCUAGUAGAGCAAAAGGGCAAAAGUCCCCUUAAUUUUAAUUUUUAGUGUAAAUACAAACUAUAAAAGUAUAGCCUAUUAAUCCUUUAGUCCCUUAAAAUUUAAGGCUAGAGGUGCUAGAAAAGUUACUACAGGGAUAACUAGCUUGUGGCAGCUAAGCGUUUAUAGCAACGUUCCUUUUUAAUCCUUUAAUAUUAGCUCUUCCUAUUAUACUAAAGCAGAAUUUAGUAAGCGUUAGAUUGUUCACCCACUAAUAGGGAACGUAAGCUAGGUUUAGACUGUUGUAAGACAGGUUAGUUUUACCCUACUAAUAACCUUGCCCUAAUAGUAGUAAUACCACGCUGCUACAAGAGGAACUGCGGUUUUAGGUAUAACAAUUAGUUUUACAGCUAUCUAAUCUAGCUAUUGCCGCGAAGCACUAUCUACUAGAUUAUAGCUAAACGCCUCAGUUAGAAUCUUAUGCGGGAAUCUAGGUGAUUUCCGCCUGCACUAGUUGCCGUCAUGAGGCCUUUAGCGCUAGAACCUUACUAGCCAUUAGCGUUAGCAGCCCUAUUAAAGUUAGAGUUAUUAGUAGCUAGUGUAUUAUAAUUAUAGUGCGCAGGAUUAAAUCCUUUAUAGAUAACUUAGUUGU